ensembl:snoRNA small nucleolar RNA, C/D box 49B
UGUCCUGAUGAUACUAAUAUUAGGAAGUGCCGUCAGAUGCGAUAACUGACGAUUUUUAUGCCUAUCUGAGU